CGGGAUAACAACCUGGAAACAGAUGCUAAUACCGGAUAACAACAGAUGAUGCCUAUCAACUGUUUAAAAGAUGGUUCUGCUAUCACUCUUGGAUGGACCUGCGGUGCAUUAGCUAGUUGGUAGGGUAACGGCCUACCAAGGCGAUGAUGCAUAGCCGAGUUGAGAGACUGAUCGGCCACAUUGGGACUGAGACACGGCCCAAACUCCUACGGGAGGCAGCAGUU
rnacentral:rRNA from 1 species